rnacentral:lncRNA from 10 species
GAAGUCGCGGCCAGGAGCGUGACCACGCUGGACCGUGUCUGCUGCCUCCCCGGGAGUCGCAAGUGCCCACAGGACAAGCAGGGGAAGCAAACUGGGCCCCUGGCUUCUGGGAAGACAGCAUGAGGGCAGACCAAGGAAAGGCAGCCGAGACCAGCAGACCUGCAAGGGAUCUCGGAGGCUCUCAGGCCCAGCUGCUUGCUGAAUAGGUAAUGAUGCAUCUGGGCCCAGAGAGAGGCAGCUCUCAGCCUUAGGUCACACAGCAGGGCAGGAGUGUGAACUCUGGCCUCCAGCCUCCGAGGUCCCCUCAUCCCACCUAACCCCCAGACUCAGAGAAGGACACUCCACCCAAGCAAUUUCUCACCUUCCCCUUAAUUGGUACAGAUCAGAAACGGGAGCACCUCCUUCUCCUGGCCCCCACGUUUAGGGUUCCCAGGACAGCCUCCGACCCACCCUCUGCCCCUCCUGUAUCCCUUUCCUCGGCCCUGGGUGACAGCACCCCUGCCCAGACCAGCUCUGACUGCCUCCAAGUGCCAAGCGCUCACAGUCCUCUACCCCCAGCCCCAGCCGGCACCCUCAGUCUCGUCCCACCAUCUCUCUGCCUCCUGAGUCCCUCCCUGAGUCCCAUGCCCUCUGCCCCAGCGACUGCCCUUGUAAAGUGAAAAUCCGACCCCACCCAACAUUUCCUGCUGCACUUAUGCAGUAUCCAGGCCUCCUCGCCAUGGAAAGCCCAGGCCUGCGGCCUCUCUGGCUUCUUCUCUCCCUUGCCCCACUGCCCCUGGCUGUCUGGCAGUUCCUGGAAGUCUCCAAGCUCUUCCCUGCCUCGAGCCCCUGCCCACGUUCUCUCUGCCCCAGGCCUCAGCCUGCGGUCACUUUCUCAGGGCAGCUUUCCCAGCACCCCGUGCAUCUAAAGUGGAUGCUGCCCUGCCCAUCACUGGAUCAGGUGCUCAUAUUCCUAAUUGACUGGGCAUAGGUGGGAGGAUUUGCCUGGUGUCUGUCUUCCUGGCUGGACUGCGGUGCCUCAAGGCCACAGGUGAAGUGCAUGGAGUCCCACAGCUUCUCUGAGCCUAAAGCUUUGUGUGACAAAUGCAUUCAAACUGCAUUUAUUGAAAGAUGGGAAGCAAGGGAGGAAGGGAAGGGGUGCGGGAGGGAGGGAGGACAAUCUUGGUGUUGGGCUGAGGUGGCGUCUGUCCCCUUUGCAUGAGUUCAGUAAGGAUUUACUGAGCACCUGCUGGCAGCAGCAUGCUGGGCACUGUGGGAAUGACAAGGAUGUGUGGGAUUUGAACUCUAACUCAGAGUACCUUCUCUUGGUAUGGAGGUAGGACAAGUAUGCAAAUGAUUAUAACUAAGGAAAUCGUGUCAAUGUGGUGACCCUUGGCCUGAACUUUCAGAACAGUCCUGGUAUCACGUGAGAAGAGUAAAUACAUGUGAUUUGAUUCUAAACUGGCUAAGACGUUAUUAAAGAAAGUAACAAGACAGA